rnacentral:rRNA from 1 species
AGAGUUCGAUUAUGGCUCAGGACGAACGCUGGCGGCGUGCCUAACACAUGCAAGUCGAACGGGAUUUAGCAGUAGCUUGCUACAGCGAAGAUCUAGUGGCGGACGGGUGAGUAACACGUGAGCAAUCUGCCUUAAAGAGGGGGAUAACGUCUGGAAACGGACGCUAAUACCGCAUAACGUAUCGAGUGGGCAUCCACAUGAUACCAAAGGAGCAAUCCGCUUUAAGAUGAGCUCGCGUCUGAUUAGCUAGUUGGUGAGGUAACGGCUCACCAAGGCGACGAUCAGUAGCCGGACUGAGAGGUUGAACGGCCACAUUGGGACUGAGACACGGCCCAG